rnacentral:lncRNA from 1 species
AAAUAAAGGACAAAACAUUAAUAACGGGACACAUAAAGGUCUGCCUCCAAGGGAAUUGUGUGACUUAGUAAACAGAAAAGAAAAAAUGUUGAGUUUGUGGAUUAAAAAGCAAACUUGAAAGUGUGCCUCCUUCACUUUCUGCUGGCAAGGAAAAAAAAAAAAGAGAAAAGAAAGAACAAGAAAAAAAUAAGGUUUUAAAGAAAAGAAUUUAAAAAAAAAGAAUUUAAAAAACACUUGACAUACUUUCUCAGGAAAGCAAAAGCAGCCUGCACUGUGACUUAAACAUAACAGUAGUAGAAAUUCACUUUCAUUGUUAUUUCUCUCUCUAUUUUUUGGCCUAUAAAGGUCAGGCUCAUAGAAUAAGGAAUUCAUUGGUCUUCAGAGCAUUCAAGGAAUCAGUGGGUGGGGAGUGCUAACCGAGAAGCUGACAAAAGUGUUGACUUCUGGUACUAAAGAGAGAAAAUAGAUAAAUGAAAAAUGAAGCAGAUGAUAAAAAAAGAAAUAGAAAAAAGAGAGAGAAAAUAUUGGCCAGAACAAAAUUGUAAUGUGCGGAAGGGAUCUACAUGUCCAUCGGUAGGAAAAUGGCAAAAUAUGUUCAUCAGACAAGGACCCUUCAGCUGUGAUGAGGAACAUUCUUCAUUCCAACAAGAAAGGAAGUUUACAAAUUAUCAAGGGAAAAAUCAAGUUGCAAAACAAUGUAUCCAAUAUGACCCCACUUGUGUAAAACUGUGUAUGUGUAUUUGUACUAACAUUCACAUUUCUCUGUAUGUAUAGAAAAGUCUGGAAGUGUAGCCAUCAAUGUGUUCAUUAUGUUUACUUCUGAGGGAUGGAAUGGGAGAAGGGACA